GAUGAACGCUGGCGGCGUGCUUAACACAUGCAAGUCGAACGGAAAGGCUCCUGCUUGUCGGGGUACUCGAGUGGCGAACGGGUGAGUAACACGUGGGUGAUCUGCCCUGCACUUCGGGAUAAGCCUGGGAAACUGGGUCUAAUACCGGAUAGGACGAUGGUUUGGAUGCUAUUGUGGAAAGUUUUUUCGGCGUGGGAUAGGCUCGCGGCCUAUCAGCUUGUUGGUGGGGUAAUGGCCUACCAAGGGGUCGACGGGUAGCCGGCCUGGGAGGGAGGACAGCCACAUUGGGACUGCGGAAGGGACCAGGCUGCUACGGGGGGCAGCAGUGGGGAAAAUUGCAGAAUGGGCCAAAGCCUGAUGGAGAGGCGCCGCGUGGGGGAUGACGGCCUUCGGGUUGUAAACACCUUUCGCUAGGGACGAAGCGCAAGUGACGGUACCUGGAGAAGAAGCACCGGCUAACGACGUG
rnacentral:rRNA from 1 species